rnacentral:lncRNA from 1 species
GGGAAACUAAAACACUAGUACUGUACCCUAAGACUAAAAAUAAAACCUUGAAAACAACAUAAAUCAAUUUGAAAAUUAAAAAACGUUAAAAGCCUUUUGGUUUACCCUUGAAAACAUAACUCCCUUUCUUCCAUCGGAGAAAACCUUUAGAGUGGCCUUGAUCUUUCAGAAAAAAUUUGCUGGCUCUUCUCUCAAUCAACAACCCCUCUAA